rnacentral:rRNA from 1 species
UACGUAGGGUGCGAGCGUUGUCCGGAAUUAUUGGGCGUAAAGAGCUUGUAGGUGGUUUGUCGCGUCUUGCUGUGAAAAUCCGAGGCUCAACCUCGGACUUGCAGUGGGUACGGGCAGACUAGAGUGUGGUAGGGGAGACUGGAAUUCCUGGUGUAGCGGUGGAAUGCGCAGAUAUCAGGAGGAACACCGAUGGCGAAGGCAGGUCUCUGG